UGACAAAAUGCCCUUUAGAGUUACUGCUACUUGUGAGAAAUCAUGAUGAAAUAUACUCUAGAAUGCCCUUCCAGUGGAGAAUAUGUGAUGCUGUGCCCUACAGGGUUCCCCUAUGAGUGAGGAAACAUGAUGAGGUGCCCUUCCGGUGUUGAAAACAAGAUGCAGUGCCCUACGGGUUGCCCUGCAUGCAAUAAAUAAAAUGAGAUGACGUGCCAUCUAAGUGCUCCUAUGUGCGAGAAAAUAUGCCCUCUAGGGUGCCUCUAUACAAGUUAAUGCCCCAGAUACCCCUGUUUUUUUCUCUCACUGCAUGUAUGAGAUACCUCACCCCACAGGCUCUUCAAAGCAGCUGGCUGAGGAUCUGAAAAUGAAGCUUCUUGAUGCCUACAAGGCAGGGGAAGGCUUUAAAAACAUAUCCUAAAAGCUUACCAUUUCUAUUGUCUAAAAUGUAAUUAAAAUGGCAGUUAAGGGGAACUUUGAAAGUCAAGGCAAGAGUUGGAAGACCAGGAAAACUCUCAGAUAGAACUGCCCACAUUCUGGACAGAAAGGCAAAGCAAAACCCCCAUAUGACACUAAGAACCUUCAGGAAGAUUCAGCUUACACAGGAGUGGUGGUGCACUGUUCUACUGUGCAGCAUUACUUCCACAAAAAUGAUCUGCAUGGAAGAGUCAUCAGAAGAAAACCUUACCCGUGACCUCAUCACAAAUGUGAACAUCUGAUGCAUGCAAAACAAUAUCUAGAUAAACCAGAGGAACUGGAAACAAGUGCUAUUGACUGAUGGAGUAAAAAUUUACCUCUUUGGCGGCAAUCACCCAAGGAGUUUUUGGAGUAAAAAAGAGUGUCACUGUGGGGAUCUGUGUUUUCUUGUUGGUGGUUACCUGCACUGAUAAUCAGUGUGGGGAUCAUGUGAUCUGCAUUGUGUGGCUGCUUGUCUUGGGUCACAUGAGGCAUGUCACAUGACACAUUAGGAGAUUAUAAAGUUUGGCUUGUGGAGUUCACGCUCUCUUGCUGCUGCCAUUUGCCACUGCAACUAGACUCCCGUCAUACAGGGUGACUGCUAGAAUAAUGUGUUCCACUCUUCAUGAAGGACACAGGUGACUGCAUGGUAUUUGAAGGACUUGUGACCUCCUAUUGAGUUGCUGGGCUGCAGACACUCUGCACUGGAGUGCCCCAUUUUAUCUUCCUGGGUUAUUGUGCUGCGGGGAGUAUUGAACACUCUUGCAAAGUAGGCCAAUACUUCUUGUAUAUGUUGGUUUUAUGUGUGCUGGUGAAUGAAAUUGGGGAUUAAUGUGUAUUAUUUCUUUUUAAAGGGACCAGGCCAGCCACUGUUUUAUUGUCAGUGUACAAGUCUUUUUUUAGUUUGUUUGUUGGUUGUUUUGUUUGCCUUUGGCUUUGUCCUUAUUUUUUUUGUCCUUGGUCUAGUGUAACCCUGCCUUGACCAAGCCAGCACGGUGGUCAUUGUGUUGGGAGCUGGCUGUUCUCCUCUUUUUGUCUCUGUAUAGGUUCUCUGUACAAGGCCGGAUCUGCACCUCACUACUGCUCCAUUCAGUUGGGGGCUGCACUGAGGGGACACUAUUUUGGGCCUCCUAGGAGAGGAGCUGUGGGUGCCGUGCCGACCCGAC